GAUGAACGCUGGCGGCGUGCCUAAUACAUGCAAGUCGAGCGAACAGACGAGGAGCUUGCUCCUUCGACGUUAGCGGCGGACGGGUGAGUAACACGUAGGUAACCUACCUAUAAGACUGGGAUAACUUCGGGAAACCGGAGCUAAUACCGGAUAAUAUUUCGAACCGCAUGGUUCGAUAGUGAAAGAUGGCUUUGCUAUCACUUAUAGAUGGACCUGCGCCGUAUUAGCUAGUUGGUAAGGUAACGGCUUACCAAGGCAACGAUACGUAGCCGACCUGAGAGGGUGAUCGGCCACACUGGAGCUGAGACACGGUCCAGACUCCUACGGGAGGCAGCAGUAGGGAAUCUUCCGCAAUGGGCGAAAGCCUGACGGAGCAACGCCGCGUGAGUGAUGAAGGUCUUCGGAUCGUAAAACUCUGUUAUUAGGGAAGAACAAACGUGUAAGUAACGGUGCACGUCUUGACGGUACCUAAUCAGAAAGCCACGGCUAACUACGU
rnacentral:rRNA from 1 species